GUAUAGGAUGGCUGUGUUGGGUUGGAAGGGGUCCUAUAUAGGUCCUAUAUGUAUGGGGUGGUUGGGUUGGAUGGGUCCUGAAAGGUUAAAAAGGCUUUGGAUGGUGAUAUUGGUUGAGAAGGUCCUGGAAGGUCACAAAAGGGGUGGGCUGGGCGGGUCCUGGAAGGGGAAAGAGGUAUAGGAUGGCUGUGUUGGGUUGGAAGGGGUCUUAUAGGUCUUAUAUGUAUGGGGUGGUUGGGUUGGAUGGGUCCCGAAAGGUUAAAAAGGCUUUGGAUGGUGAUAUUGGUUGGGAAGGUCCUGGAAGGUCACAAAAGGGGAUGGGAGGGGAGGUCCUGGAAGGGGAAAGAGGUGUGGGAGGGUUGGGUUGGGUUGGAAGGGGUCCUAUAGGUCUUAUAUGUAUGGGGUGGUUGUGGUUGGAUGGGUCCUGAAAGGUUAAAAAGGCUUUGGAUGGUGAUAUUGGUUGGGAAGGUCCUGGAAGGUCACAAAGGGGAGGGGCAGGGAGGUCCUGGAAGGGGAAAGAGGUGUGGGAGGGUUGGGUUGGGUUUAUAGGGUCCUUAAAGAGGAGAGGGUCAAAGGAUGGUUGGGUUGGAUGGGUCCCGGAAGGUUAAAAAGGCUUUGGAUGGUGAUAUUGGU
ensembl:lncRNA